UGUGGCUCAGUGGUAGGGUGCUUGUCUGACAUACACAAGGCUCUGGGUUCAAUCCCAGCA
rnacentral:tRNA from 1 species